GAUGAACGCUGGCGGCGUGCCUAAUACAUGCAAGUCGAGCGAACGGACGAGAAGCUUGCUUCUCUGAUGUUAGCGGCGGACGGGUGAGUAACACGUGGAUAACCUACCUAUAAGACUGGGAUAACUUCGGGAAACCGGAGCUAAUACCGGAUGAUAUUUUGAACCGCAUGGUUCCAACGUGAAAGACGGUCUUUCUGUCACUUAUAGAUGGAUCCGCGCUGCAUUCGCUAGUUGGUAAGGUAACGGCUUACCAAGGCAACGAUGCAUAGCCGACCUGAGAGGGAGGUCGGGUACCUUGGAUGUGAGACAGGGCCCAGACUCUGACAGUAAGCAGCAGUAGGGAAUCUUCCGCGAUGGGGGAGUGGGUGAUGGAGCAAAGCCGGGGGAGGGAUGAAGGAGUCAGGAUCGGAAAACGAUGUUAGUAGGGAGAAAGAAAAGUGCUAUUACCGGGGCAGAUCAUGACGGUACCUAAUGAGAAAGCCACGGCUAACUACGUG
rnacentral:rRNA from 1 species